rnacentral:rRNA from 1 species
AUUGAACGCUGGCAGCAGGCCUAACACAUGCAAGUCGAACGAGUGGCGGACGGGUGAGUAAUGUCUGGGAAACUGCCCGAUGGAGGGGGAUAACUACUGGAAACGGUAGCUAAUACCGCAUACCAUCGGAUGUGCCCAGAUGGGAUUAGCUAGUAGGUGGGGUAACGGCUCACCUAGGCGACGAUCCCUAGCUGGUCUGAGAGGAUGACCAGGCAGACUGGAACUGAGAAACGGUCGAGAAGCCUACGGGAGGCGGCAGUGGGGAAUAUUGCACAAGGGGCGCGAGCCUGAGGCAGCCAUGCCGCGUGUAUGAAGAAGGCCUGCGGUUUGUAAAGUACUUUCAGCGAGGAGGCGUGACUCGCAGAAGAAGCACCGGCUAACUCCGGUCAAGCCGCCGCGGUAAUUC